rnacentral:rRNA from 1 species
GAUAAACGCUGGCGGCGUGCUUAACACAUGCAAGUCGAACGAAGUUUUUCCUUCGGGAGAAACUUAGUGGCGGACGGGUGAGUAACGCGUGGGUAACCUGCCCUGUACAGGGGGACAACAGCUGGAAACGGCUGCUAAUACCGCAUAAGCACUUAGCACUGCAUGGUGCAUAGGGAAAAGGAGCAAUCCGGUACAGGAUGGACCCGCGUCUGAUUAGCCAGUUGGCAGGGUAACGGCCUACCAAAGCGACGAUCAGUAGCCGAUCUGAGAGGAUGUACGGCCACAUUGGGACUGAGACACGGCCCAGACUCCUACGGGAGGCAGCAGCGGGGAAUAUUGCACAAUGGAGGAAACUCUGAUGCAGCGACGCCGCGUGAGUGAAGAAGUAUUUCGGUAUGUAAAGCUCUAUCAGCAGGGAAGAAAAUGACGGUACCUGACUAAGAAGCACCGGCUAAAUACGUG